UGAGGAUCGACUGGCAGUUAGUGGUUUCCUUGGAGAAGGAGAGACUCUGUCUUAUGUUUUAAUUUAUUUAUUUAUUUGGGGGAUCGGGGGAAAUGGUUACAAGACUUGAGUGUGUAGGACGGAGGUGAACUCUGUGAAGUCAGUUCUCUCUUUCCAUCUUUCUGUGGAUUCAGGUGGUGAUGAAACUCAGAUUGCCAGGUUUGUACGAGUGCCUAUAACUGCUCAGCCAUCUUGUCAACCAGGAGAUGUUUUCUUCAGUGGUCUAGUCACCCCAUGCUGCUGUAAGCAACCUUAAUGACUCUCAUUGGAUUCUGGGAAGGAGAGACUACAGUAGUCAUGGGCCUAAGCUGCAUCUCAGGGUUACAUGAAAUCCCUGUGAAGUGCUUACAUCCGAAUCUUUGUCCACUUCUUACCAAGCUCUUGGAGACUCUGUCGCCUUCCCUUAUAUUCUUCACCUAGUAACAAGAACUGCCUCCGAAAUUUUCUGGACUCAAUUGAGGUGGUGGUUCCAGUACAUCGUGGUGACAGAGGCAUGGCAACAGAAAUAGAUGACAGCUGGCCAUGUGUGUUCCCCUCCAGGAAGCAGAGAAUCAUUAGGAGGUGGAUCCUCCCUGGAGGAAGUGGAUCAUUGUGAGCAGAUUUUCUGGAUCAGGUGGAAUGGCGUGUGCCUGUAAUUUCAGCAUUCAGGAAACUGAGGAAGAAGAAUCAUGGGUUCAAGGCUAGGCUGAGAUACCUAGGGAAACAGUGCUUCCAAAAAAGUAAAUAUAUUUGAAGAGUGGA